AGAGGAUCACAACUGCCGUGUUAGUGUUCGACCAGCAUUUUCAAAAGCAGACAUUGAUGGGCUGCGGUGCUCUGAUGGACUCUGGUGCUCAGCAGCUUUUCUGAGCAGGUGUUGAACAAAGGCGAAGCCUGCUGAACACCCUCGUGCUAAACACUCCACGAGGAAGUGGUUGGUGGGGAUGUAGCUGAAGCAGUAGACACAUUACAUCUGCUUGUGAAAACCCUCCCACAGCCCCUUGCCUUUGUUUUCAGCCAGGUGCUCCUGAUUUAAACAGCUCAAGGGCAUAAAUAAGUGGCAGGAGUGAAGGAUCACUGGGACCGUAUAGGCACUACUGGUACUUGAGCAAUGUACCUUGGAACCACUAGCAGAAAAACUAAGUAAAAUGCACUCUCUGCCACUACUUUGAAUGGCACAGCAAUAGAUGAAAGCAUGCAGAGAGGAAGAAGUGGCUAUUAAGAGGUGACAGAUGAACUCAAAUAUUAGAACAAUAUUUCAUGGAAGGGGAAGAAGCAGCGAGAUCAGGGAGAUAAGUAACACCUCUGUCAUAUUGUGGCUGUUGGGGGAACGUGCUGCCCAUGCUGCUGAGAAGCAAGGCCUGUUCCUGGCGCUCUCCGGGUUCCAGUGGGCUCUGUGCUGCUCUGCCCCUCACCACUUGCCUUGGCAAGCAGAUAUAUCUGCUUAUUACAGAGAAAUAUCUCACUUGUACCACUGGCAGCAAGCUGUGCAGCUCAGAGCCCACGCUUUUUUCCUGUCCUGCCACCAGAAGUCCACAUCCUCCUCCUCCUCCUCCUCCUCUGGAGCGAGGGCAGCUCUGCCCUUCAGGCCAUGGCCAUCAGGAUUGCAUUUGUCUAAAAUGAGAGAAGAUUACUGCUGAUGUUCCUGGCUCCUUACUGCAACAGCAAAAUGGGAGAUAAAAUAAAUGGCUUGACUGAAACCUUGCAAGAACAUAAAUUGCAGCGUAGAUUAAGAAGUCAGUUUUGUCAUAAUAGAAGGCAGAGCUUAUCAUUACAUUUCAUUUCUCUUAAUGGACACUUUCUGCUGCAUUUACAGGAACAGGGCAAUUCUUUCUGAGCUGAAUUGUGUGUGUGUUUUCCCAUGUGAUUUAAACCAGGCAGAGCUUCAAGGCAUAUACACCUGAACUGCAACAUACCCUUCCUUUUCUCUCAUUUUCAUUCCUGCAGUGACCAGACCGUGAUCUGCUUCCAAGGCAAUUAUACCUGUCUCCUCAAUUCAAAAGGAUGAGAAUGUUAGAUAACAGAAAAUACCUCAAAUCUCUGACAGGUGCUUUUUGGUCCUCUCCCUUCUCCUCAGUGUUCAUCAGCUCUAAAGACAUACACUAUUCUUUCCCUUGUUCUUCCUGGCACUCAAAAAAUUGUUGCUCAUUAUCACUAUAGAAAUUAUUAUCACUUGUAACUUUUUUGGCUU